AGUCAGCAAGUGCUGCUUACAAUCAAAACAUCCAGGAGACUUUGUCAGUGUCAGCAAAAGUCCGAUUAGGAGCCUACCUGGUUUCCUGCCAGUUUGCUUGGCUCCUGAGCUGCCUGGGAGUCGCUACGGGGCCAGGCCCCCAGCAUUUCUGCCCUUUGGUUCUUCCACAGGAGAGUUGCCAGGGACUUCGGGGAGCUGGAGAGGUGGGACUAGAAGUAUCCAGAGAACUUUAUUCAGCAUAUUCAUGAGUGUUACAAAAAGGUGACAAAAUCAUAGAGUCUUUUUUAUUAGGAUGUGAAUCUGUUUGUUGGAAAAAGUUCCAGUUCUUUGUGAUCAAAAAUGCCACUUCUUAUUCAGGUCUGUUUCUACUCCCAUCUCACUUAAAGCAGCCAGCAUCUGAUAGCUGGAUUGUCUCCACUGAUGGUUGUUUUCUCAAGGAAUCACCUUUCAGCUGUAGAUCAGGCUUUGAGUAAGUGAGGUAUCUGAGGGCAUCAGUCUCAUGUUGUGUCUCAUAUUAAAGAAGGUAUUGUGACAGUCUCAUGUUUCCUUAGAGAAAAUACCUCUCUAAUCUAGAGAGAGCUCGUUUUUGACUUCUCAUUGUUUUCUCUGAUUAUUUUUUUCUGAAUAAAGUUAAAUAACACCUCUGUUGCUCAGCUGGGUUGCCAUCACACACAAGGUGGUUGUAUUUGCUGAUUUCAAGUUGUAUUUUUUUUGGUUUUGCUAUUAGAAUCAAGGAAAAGCAGCACAUUUCUUCAGUACUACGCUUAAAAUGUAACCCAGAGAACAUCACAAGCACUCUGAGAAUUCUGAGCACUUUCUGGCCAUGCCUCCAGCCUGUCAAUAAGAAGCUUUGUCAUAACAUUCUCCUGAGAACAAAUACGUCCAAAUAAAGUAUCUCAAAGGCCACACUCAAAUCAUGAAGUACUUGCCAGGUACCUUCUAAUGAUGUGGCCACUUCAGGAGAGUUACCUGGGCUUUGGGGACCUGAUGGAUGCUAAAACUUCUGUUUGUGUAAUGGUUCCUAAAGGAAAUUACAUUCUGAGCUGUGUAGCUUUUCAACCCAAACUGGGUCCUUUAAUCAUCCAAGCUCUUAUUCAAAUCGUUGCUGAAGUUACAAAACUAGGAUGGUUUGAUGUACUAAAAGAUGGGCCUAUCUUCAGAGACAUUAUUGCUGAUGUAAAAAAAAAAAAUUUGCAGCUGCUGUGGAGAUGCAUUUCUGAUCCCUGUCUGUGUGAACAUCAAGCCCAGAACUUCUGCUGACAAAAGUAGAUGGGAAAAUUUAAGCUAUUUGGCAAUUUCCUUCCAGGAUCAUCCAUUAUCCGUGUAUGUGGUGGUGAUCCUGGUAAUUCAGCAAGAAAACACGAAGUUAACAGGUUUUGUUUCUUGAUAAUGAGUUUCUCCUUUGCUUUUCAGUCUUACUUUGUUUAUAAUACUGUUUGAGUUAAUGUACUUUUUGAGUUACUUUGGGAAUGCCUAAUAAAAGAUAAGUUGCAAUAAUCUGCUUAUUAAAAACAAACUCAAGUAUACUUCUCUACCAUUUUGCAGUUAUUUUUAUGAAUGUACUGUAAUUGGAAUUUGCAUUUAUUAUUAAAAUGAUUGCAGUGUGACUCUUCAGU